UGGGACUUCACAUCUUUCAAUGAUCUGUGAACUGCUUAAACCCAGGUAGAAUAGCCUGAAUGUUUCAAGUCGGUGCAGGUGCUCAUUAUAACGUGGCUCGCAUUUAGCAGCCAAAGGGGGUAGAGAAGGGAAUGGCAGUAGCUGAGAAGACCCAGAGCUUCACGUGUCAAUCAGCUGGCCAGUGUUGCAUGGCCAGUGAAAAACAUGAUUCAAACCAUCCGACGCUAAGCCACGUGAAAGGUCAGCGAGUCAGUCCUUGGCAGCCACUUCACGCAAACAAGACGAUGCGGACGACGACGACGACGGCGGUUUCGCCAAUGGUCGCUUCCAUUUAGAAACUGCGACUCGCCAACGAAAAUAGGCUGUUCUUUGCUGGAGCUGCCUCCGACCCUGCCGGGUGAAAAUGCUGCAAGAAAAAGAAAACCAUUGCCUUUAAAUAAUGCCACAUCAUUCACAUACCCUUUGAAAUAACAUCACACAUUCUUUAAAUAUUGAUACGGGGAAAAUCAAUACACUAUACACGUCAUAUAUAGAUACACAAUGUUGGGCAUUAUAUUUAUUUUUUGGCGUGAUAAUAUCGAGACAUUGAGGCAUGUCCGCACAGGGCAAGUGUAAGGUGGUGUGCCCUUGUAGAGGGAAGCUAUAAAUAACGCGCGCGUUCUGCCCUUGAUGCUCCGGCGUAUUGCGCCAUCGGCGUGGCCAGCGGUAGACGGGGUGGGUGGCGUCAACAAAGUGCUGAGCGGUGAAUAACGGCCGCGUGUGCGACACCCAACAGCUU